ensembl:lncRNA
UGACUGGCCAGGGAAAAGCAAAGCAAGCAUCUCAGCUGCUUGUCUCUAGCCACCUGGCUAUCACAGCCGGCAGAAAGCUUAAAAAGGAGAACAAAAGCAAACAAAAUCAAGCAGGAAAUAUUGCUGAGAAUUGAGGGAGCUGGAUGCUUUAGGUAGAAGACUGAGCCCCUGGCUGUUAGUCAAAGGUUAGGCAUGUUGGCACCUGCUGCAGAUCAUCUAGUGGAAAAGAAAACCUAUCACUCUAAUUUACAGCUUGAGGAAAUGUAACAGGCACCAUCAGGCUUUGCAUCACGAUGUCUGGAGACCUGGUUUUGAUCAGCAUCCAUGUCACAUGUGACAAGAGCUAUGGUAUUGACUUGAUGAGAACUUCCAAAUUUCCUCAGGUGAUUAAAACACAGCCCCAUGAAAUAAUCUACAUACUGAAAGGCCGCUAUCAGGUCUUCCUUCAGGAGCCUUCUCUUCCCCAGGCUGAACAGCCCCAGCUUUCUCAGCCUGUCCUCACAGGAGAGACGUUCCACCCCUUGGAGCAUUUUUGUGGUCCUCCUCUGGAUGUACUCCAACAGAUCCACAUCCCUCCUCCACCGAUGAGUCCACAUCUAGACCCAAUACUCCAGGUGAGGUCUCACCAGCUCAGAGUAAAGAGGUACCAAAAAGCUGGAGUUCUAAAGUACAGCCCCUGCUGAAGAGAGAUGUGUAGCUAUAUGUUGAUAGUCCUGUAGACAGUACAAGGAUUUCUUCAUCUUUUCUUUGACGACUUCUGUCAAGACCUCUGCAAUCUAUAACAUCCCUGAAAUGUGCUCAUAUGAAAGAAGUUUGCAUUUCAGUAGAGGCUGCACUGCUUCCAAGUGCAGAUGCAAUCUGACCUCCCUGCUGCUGCUUCACCUCCUGUAAUUAUACACUCAGGGUUCACCUUUUUGACCCUACCAUUGCAAUUGCUUCUACCAUCAGCAAUUCCUUCAAAGGUUGCAUCUAAGCUUACCUGCAAGAGAACACCAGGAGACACCCUGGAUCCUGCUCCUUGGAUAACAAGAUCAUGUGCUUAGAUUUCACCUACACAGAGACAGGCAUGUGGGAAACUGCUGGUACAUAUCCAGACAGUACACUAAUGGGAAUCCAGGAUGUGAUAUCUGCAUCUGGGAAUUCAGAAACAUUCCUGGACUUUACGAUUCAGGCAUCACUGGUGACAGUGUCCUGCUGUGCUGUGUCCUCCUGUGGUCUUGUUUACCAUUUUCCUGGCGUGUGUGCGCAUACACUGUUUGAAAUCUGUGGACACUGGUUGUGGAUUCAGCACCCAGGCAAAAAUCUCAUCGACAGAGGUCACAGAAUUUGGUUUCCAGGGUUUAAAUGGACAUUUCCAAAUGAUGUGUGUUCUAAAGCCUUCAUCCUUCUUAUUGUAUGGCAAAGGGAAAACCACGAUAUCAGAGCUAUAAGACAACGAUGUGCUUGGACCCAGCCUUCAAAACUGAAUAUCUUAAGGACAUCCUAGAGGAAUUUCCCUCCUACCAUAAGUACAUCAGGAUGCCUAAAGUACCGUUAGAUGGAGUACUGGUGUGCCAUGAAUGUCACCCUGGCAAUGCUGGAGAGGAAGUUUUCUGAUUUAAAUUAAGAGAAAAUGAGAAAUAAAUCAGGAUCAGAAAUUAACAGCCUACAAAUGAUAAUGAGCUCAGUGAAUAUUAUUAACACGAGUUACAACUGACUGACAAGUGAAACCAGCAUAUGGUGUUCAGUCUUCCCAGAAAAGUUUUUUCUGUCUUCUGCUGAUGGAGCACCACUUCAUCUGUUGCACCAGUUGACUGACAAUAUGACAUCUGGAAUGAAGCACAUUACUGUCAAGUGUACAAGAAGGAAAAUGGCACAGGGGCUUGUGAGAUCAGAGGGAAGAUUUAAAAAACAGAUAAAGACAGAAAGUGAGUGAAUAUCAGCCCCAAUGCUUUCUUCUCUCCAAGAUUUACGUCAUUCACUACAGUCACUAAUCUUUCUCCCUACUCCUCUGCAGGAUCAUCACCCCAAAACUCCACUAAUUUUGUGGAAGUGAAAUUUUAGCAAAGAUGAGAUUUACCCUGACACAAAGAAAAAAACAGGGAACUUCACUCCUGUGAAGAUGCUUACGCAAUACCUUGAAGAACAAAGGAAAAUUGGUGCUGCUUUUAGUGGAGUGUUUGUGGAAAUACUACAUGUGGGAAAUGGAACAAGAAUGUUCAGCUGGGGCUCCGCUCUUCAAAAUAAAACUGGACUGAAAAAUGACACUAGUUGAAGAAUAUACCAAGAUCACUGAAGCAAUUACUCCCACGUAAUUCUCUUAUAUUUGUUUAUUCUACCACAGGGACAAUGGAUUUAGUUUUGGAAAGCACCAGAGUAGUUUUUCACCACCUUUAAAUUAGGAACAGGCAAUCUAUUUUGUUAAAGGCUACACAGUCUCAACUUCAAGCUCAGCUUAACUGAGCACUUUUUUGUAGGAGUUCACAAUUUGUUGUCAGGCUCUGGUACCUUUGCUAUAGCUGGUUCUUCUUCCUGAGAUGAUUUCCACCAAAGUGUGCCUUUUGGUUACACAGCUGUAAAAUGAUCACAUUUUGCUAGAUGUUUUCUUGACUUACAAGAGGUGGUAAAUUCUCAUUAUAACUACAGUGUUCUAGCAUAAAUUGUAGGUUAUAAAACAAAAAUUUCAUCUAGUAACAAAGAAAUAAUAAAAUCUUUCAGACAGAGCAAUUUCUUAUACAUUUUUAUACGGUUUAAAUAACUGAUCUUCAGAAAGGAAAUCUGAUCCUUCAUGAAUUGCUCAAGAGAUAAGGAGUGCCCUGAAGUAGUGCCUGGCUAAGUGACAAUGGGACCAAUCACUAAAUGCAAUUGAGAAUUUCCAUAUGCAAGUAAUUGUACUGAAACAAGAAAGGAAGUUUCCAAGAGAUUUCUGUUUCUAACACUAAAGGUAUAAAUAUAUAGAUGGCAGCUUUGUUUGUGUUGUGAAGGUUAUUCAAAGUGCUGACUUUUGCCCUAUCCCUUUUCUCACAAUGGUUUAGCUAGUGGUAAUUUUUCCAGUGAUUUAAACAGAUCUACGAGUGUGGGUAGUACUGCUGGAAUUUAUAUUACUAAAUGUGGUUGCUCCCAAGACAGAGAAUAAAACUUGAGUUAGUGACCUGAGAUUGCUGAAACAUGGGACUCAGUCAAUAAUCAGUGGAGACUAAGUCAAUAUAAUUAGUGGAGGCCAAGACAUGCUAUGUUUUACCCUAAAAUAAACAUCUUUAGUUGAAAAAUUGAACACUGUCCUAGAUCCACUUACUAUAAAAUAAACCUUCAGUUACUACCUCUGCUUUUUAACCCCUCAUUAUUAAUAAAAAAUAAGGUGAUCAUAAAUCCUGCCUCAGGUUUCAAACUUCACCCAUUGAAAUUAUCAUAUCAAUUAUUUAUAUAUUUACAUUGAAGUCAUGUGUGUCAUUUGCAUAGUGAAACUCAACAGAUUUUAAAGUGGUUGAACUCCUGUGAUACCUUCCAGAGUGUGACAGUUUCAUAGUUUCAUGCUUUAUUUUUUCUUUUUUUUUUUUUUUAGAAAUAACUCUCAAUUAUUUAUUUAUUUAUUUACAGCAAUUAUCAAAAGGUUUUUAAAUCACAGUAAUAUUGUUUUUAAAUUCUCCUGUAAAUACACUUAUUUUUCAUUUAAAAAAAUAACAAAAUUUAACAGGCAGAUUCCCAGCUGGUGUUACUAGCAACUCUUUAUUAAUUUCAUAAGAAUAUGCUCAAGUGACACCAGUGAUUGUGAAGGAAAGAAACUAAGGAUGGCAGUCUUACAUAAGUACACACUGUUAUACCACAGGGGCUGCUCUAAAUGUAAUGCCUCCUAUUUUGAUAUGUUGGUCCACAAUGUCAGAGGAAAUUGUUGGUGGUAUGGCAAUAAAGGUUGAACCUUCCCGCCAGUAUUUUGUUGCCUUGUGACAGAUGGCAGCAGAAGAGCAGUCUGACAAAAAGAUAUCUGACAUGGAAGUGCAUAUGAAGCAAAGGUGUGCCAUUGCAUUUCUCCAUGUGGAAAAAUGGCAGCCACUGACAUUAAUUGUUACUUACUGAACGUCUAGAGAGACCAGACAGUGGAUGGGAGAACAGUGAGGUGAUUUGUUGUAUAUUUCAGCAGUGGUUACAGUGACAUGAAGACAAACCAUGUUCUGGACAGCCAUGCACAGCUGUCACACCACAAAAUGAAGAGUGUCUCAAUCAGCUCAUCCAUGCAAGUUGGCAGAUUAUGAUCAGAGAACUAUGUGCAUAGCUUCAGUAUGUUGGAAAUGACGGUGAUGACGCUGGCAUAUUACAAAUUUUGCACCAAGUGGGUCAUGGAAAUGCUCACACAGGAAAAGAAAGAACACCAUAUUCAAGUCUGUCAGGAACUAUGGCACUGAUAGCAGGCUGAAGGUGACAGUUUCCUGGAUCUCAUCGUUACUGGGGACAAGAUAUGGUGUCACAACUGCGAGCUGGAGUAAAAAUGGCAGUGUAUGGAGUGGUGACAUGUGAAUUCCCCCCAGGAGAAAGACACAGCCCUCCAUGUCUAACAAGAUGUUCAGUGUCUGUUGGAAUAGGAAAGGGGUGAUCUUUAUGGAUUUCCUGGAAACCAGACAGACCAUCAGCUCUGACCGCUACAUUGCAGUGCUGACUAAGGUGAAAGCUUGAACUUUCAGACAGGCCAGAGAAGAACAUAAUCUUCCUCUUGCAACAGACAAUGCUAGGCCACAGUUUGAAGACUAGGGAGUACACAGGACUGGACGGUCCCACCGCACCCUCUGUAUUGUCCAGAUUUGGUGCCUUCAGACUUCCCUCUGUUCAGGCCAAUGAAGGAUGGACUGUGUGGGCAACUUUAUCCUAGCAACAAUACCACCAUAGCAGCUGUGAAGCAGUGGAUCUCCUCUGCUGGUGCAGAUUUUUAUGAGUGUAAUAUGAAGGCUCUUGUUCAUCACUCCUGAGAAUGCAGAGCUAAUGGUGGUGAUUACACUAGUUUUCUGUAAUUGAGAAUGAGUGUUAUUGUAUUCUUUGUCUCUGCUGUAUUUUCCAUGGAAAUAAACUGGAGGUAUAACUUUCUGAGAGACUUGUGGAACCUGCAAAUUCGUUAACUACAUUACAAUUUUCCAUUUGUACUUAGCCUAAGACAACAAAAACACUUCAAAAUCUUCAAGUGACUAAGUUAUAAGAAUACAUCUUACUUACAGAUAGAUUCCUUAUAGAUAGUUAAAUAGGCUUACUUACAUACAUCUGUUAAUCUCAGAUUUGCUCAGAAAUGGCACACAUACUCCUUCUGUGAAGUCAUUAGCACUUUUUAAACUUAAUUAGGCAGGACAGAAUAUUUCAUUUUGUAGGCUCCUAUGAUUUUUGCAUCUUUAUGGAAAUGCUGUAAAUUUUCAGUGCAAAAAUUAAUCUUUUCCAAAUUGGUUGUUUGAGUUCAUUUUCCUCACUUUACAGGCAGAAAUAAGUGGUCUGCAAAAAGAAGGGUUGAACUGUGAUUCUUACUUGAGAUUGAUUGGAGGAUGCUUGCUUUCUGUAAAACCUGCAGAUGUGGAUGCAUCUCAACCAGGAACUCAGAAGAAAUUAGGCAGCCUUUCUACAUUGCUUUUUCUUUCUUAAUUUCAUAGCCAUUUUGUAAUUCAAGACAAAACAAAAUGAUGGUAAAUUGCUGUGCUCUUAUUUUUUCAUUUUGUACUUUUUUUUUUUUCCCCCAGAGCAAUGGCUUGAUGUUGCCCAGAAUGUCAUACAUGCAUACAUACAUGCAUGUGUAGUUUUUAAUUACUCUUCCUGUAAAAGUUAAAGCACACAGAAUCCUAACAUAUCAG